ensembl:lncRNA
CGCCCACUUCCUCACUUCGCGGCUCUGGAAAGUCUGGGCCAGGACGCAUUCUUUGUCUGACUCGGGGCGGUGGGGGGGGCGGUCGCGCCCCCCUACACCCCCUUCCCGGCGGCGAGGCCGGGAGGGGCGGAGCCCGCGUCGCGGCGAGGGCGGGCCCGGGUGGCCUCUCCAGCACCCCCGGCCUCGCGCUGCCCCCCGCGGCCCCCACCUGUUCCCUGGCGGCUGGGGCCGGGGUCCCUGGGGACUCGCGGGUCCCCUGAUUCAGCGCGCCCAGCCCGGCCCGGCUGGAACAAAGUGCGGCGGGCCCAGGCCCGGCGGCUCCCGGCUGCUCCGCCCGGCCGCGCGGGGCAGUUUGCAAACACAAAGUGCGCCGCAGAGCCAGCCAGAGUUGGAGCGGCCGCCGGCCCAGCCCCACGCGUCUCCGCGCGCCGCCACCUACCUGUCGGGCCCGGCUCAGCCCGCGCGGGGCAUGGGGCUCGCUGGGGUCCCCGCCUGCCCGCCGCCGCCCUGGCGUCCUCCCGCGCCGCGCGCCCUAGCCGCGCCGGGCCAUCGCGGGCGCCUCGGCGGGAGCUCCGCGCGCCCCAGCUCCGUGCUGCUCCGGCCUCCGGGGCCCGGGCGUCUCCGCCCCCCGGCUCAGCCCUGGCUCCUCCCCACCGCGCCGCGCCCUCCUCGCGCGCUGGGCUCCGUCCCGGCCGCCGCCGCUCGCUCCGGGCUGCAGGGCGGCCGGCUCCGGACUCCGCGGGCUGCGACCUGAGCCGGUGCGAAGGCGGCGCGCGGGCGGGGGUGGGGCCGGGGCGCGCCGCCGAGCGGCGGGCAGGCGGGGCUCAACUCCGCGCUACCGUAAUCCGCCUAAAGCUGGCGCAGCACGUCCACUGCCGGGCCGCGGGGAGACCACGUGGACCGAACUUCAGGGAGAACAGACCGGCACGUGGGACGGGCCGUGGGGCUACGGAUCUGAAAGGGGCUUUGCAGAGAGACCUCAGAGGGUGUCCGGCCUCGGAGCGGUUCCAGGGAACGCUGUGCCAACCCCACCUUCCUGUGGAGCCCUGAGCCAUUGCAGUACAUUGAGCUCCAUAGAGACAGCGCUGGGGCAAGUGAGAGCCGGAGGGCCCUGGGCGACUCUGUGCCUCGCAGACAGAAGCAAGUAAACCUGGGCAAAGGAGAUCCAAAGGAGCCGGGAGGCAGGACGUCAUCACGGGCAUUCUUGGUGCAGACCUGCCGAGAGGAGCACAAGAAGAAGCACCCAGACGCUUCCGCUAACUUCUCUGAGCUUUCUCAGAAGUGCUCGGAGAGGUGGAAGACCAUGUCUGCUAAAGAGAAAGGAACAUUUGAAGACAUGGCAAAGGCAGACAAGGCCCGUUAGGGAAGAGACAUGCAAAUCUGAAUCCCUCCUAAAGGAGAGACAAGGGAAGUUCAAGGGUCCCAAUGCGCCCACGAGGCCUCCUUCGGCCUUCUUCUUGUUCUGUUCUGAGUAUCGCCCCAAAAUCAAAGGAGAACAUCCUGGCCUUUCCAUUGGUGAUGUUGCAAAGAAACUGGGAGAAAUGUGGAAUAAUACUGCAGCAGGUGACAAGCAGCCUUAAGAGAAGAAGGCUGCCGACCUGAAGGAAAAGUAUGAAAAGGACAUCGCUGCCUACCGAGCUAAAGGAAAACCUGAUGCAGCAAAAAGGGAGUUGUCAAGGCUGAGAAAAGCAAGAAAAAGAAGGAAGAGGAAGAAGAUGAAGAGGGUGAGGAAGAGGAAGAAGAUGAAGAGGAUGAAGAUGAAGAAUAAGAAGAUGAUGAUGAAUACGUUGGUUCUAGCAGUUUUUUCUUGUCUAUAAAGCAUUUACCCCCCUAUAUACAACUCACUCCUUUUAAAGAAAAAAAUUGAAAUGUAAGGCUGUGUAAGAUUUGUUUUUAAACCAUACAGUGUCUUUUUU